GAUGAACGCUAGCGGCAGGCCUAACACAUGCAAGUCGAGCGGUAGGGGACUUCGGUCCCUGAGAGCGGCGCACGGGUGCGUAACGCGUAUGCAACCUACCCUUUACAGGGGAAUAGCCCGUCGAAAGGCGGAUUAAUGCCCCAUGGCUCCCUUGAGCGGCAUCGCUUAAAGGGAUAAAGAUUUAUCGGUAGAGGAUGGGCAUGCGUGCCAUUAGCUGGAUGGUGGGGUAACGCCCACAUGGCUACGAUGGCUAGGGGUUCUGAGAGGAAGGCCCCCCA
rnacentral:rRNA from 1 species